CCAGACUCCUACGGGAGGCAGCAGUAAGGAAUAUUGGUCAAUGGGCGAGAGCCUGAACCAGCCAAGUCGCGUGAGGGAAGACGGUCCUAUGGAUUGUAAACCUCUUUUGCCGGGGAGCAAAAAGCGGUACGCGUACCGCAUCGAGAGUACCCGGAGAAAAAGCAUCGGCUAACUCCGUGCCAGCAGCCGCGGUAAUACGGAGGAUGCGAGCGUUAUUCGGAUUUAUUGGGUUUAAAGGGUGCGUAGGCGGUCCGUUAAGUCAGCGGUAAAAAUUCGGGGCUCAACCCCGUCGUGCCGUUGAAACUGAUGUUCUUGAGUGGGCGAGAAGUAUGCGGAAUGCGUGGUGUAGCGGUGAAAUGCAUAGAUAUCACGCAGAACUCCGAUUGCGAAGGCAGCAUACCGGCGCCCAACUGACGCUGAAGCACGAAAGCGCGGGUAUCGAACAGGAUUAGAUACCCGAGUAUA
rnacentral:rRNA from 1 species